GUCUAUGGCCAUGCACCCUGAACAAGCCCGAUGCCAUCUAAUCUCAGAAGCUAAGCAGGAUCGGGCCUGGUUAGUACUUGGAUGGGAAACCACCAAGAAAGACCAGGUGCUGUAGGCA
rnacentral:rRNA from 1 species